GGCUGAGAGAGGAGGCUGAGGGUCAUAUUAUGUUUGUUGUUUCUGAGAGUGAUACAGGCAGUUGACUGCCAAGCUGUCCUCAAUUGGGGGAACCUUUGUCUGGGAGAAUGCCCUCACGAUUAUGGAGCAGUGUGUUUAGAAAAGAUUGAUAAGCAAAGAAUUUAUGUUCCACUUCAAUGUGAAGGAACAGAGGAGCAAACAUGCUUUCGCUACCACUCGUGUGUGUGCUCCAUUGUAGUUGUGUCAUGAAAAGCCAGACAACUCAGGAUGUUGAUGUCAUGUGGGCCCUCUGGAAAGUCCUAAAAUAUGCCCCUGACCGCCGUGGUGGAGUAGGACGCAACUGAAGGUCUCAUAGUGACUGCGGAUGCCACAGACACUUGACGAGGAGUGUGGAAAUGAAUCAGACUGGAGGCAUCUUGUGGCUUUUGGCUGGUGGGCAACAUGGUGUGUGUGGGGGCAAACAGACGUUCCCAUAAUCCUCAGAAUCAACAGCCACUACUCUGUCCUGUUUGGUUCCCGUUGGUGCACAGAGGUACAACAUCUAAAAACAGAGCCAUUACAGAUCUGUGUCGGAUCUGAGUAUUGUCCUCGGUCAUUGAUGAUCCCUGCUCUUAUGAUGAAUUAAUUACUGAAUUUGCCCCCACUACGAGACGUGUGCAGUUUGGAUUUAGUCUCCCGGCCCACACACCAGAAAGAUGUUUUCAACAGUCCUCAGGUUUUGGUAUUGCUAUUUUAGCCUGUUUUAACCUUUUUAAAUUAUAGAAAUUGCAUGUUUGAACAAUAUUUUUUUUCAUGCUGUAUCAUAUAUGAUCAAG